CAUGUCUCAGUACAAGCCACAUUAAGGUGAAACCGCGAAAGGCUCAUUAAAUCAGUUAUGGUUCCUUAGAUCGUACCCACAUUUACUUGGAUAACUGUGGUAAUUCUAGAGCUAAUACAUGCAAACAGAGUUCCGACCGGAGACGGGAGGAAUGCUUUUAUUAGAUCAAAACCAAUCGGCGGCGGGUGCGUUCGCGUGUCCGUUCGCCGCUCAACUUGGUGACUCUGAAUAACUUUCGGCUGAUCGCACGGUCUCGCACCGGCGACGCAUCUUUCAAAUGUCUGCCUUAUCAACUGUCGAUGGUAGGUUCUGCGCCUACCAUGGUCGUAACGGGUAACGGGGAAUCAGGGUUCGAUUCCGGAGAGGGAGCCUGAGAAACGGCUACCAC
rnacentral:rRNA from 1 species